UACGUAGGGUCCGAGCGUUGUCCGGAAUUACUGGGCGUAAAGAGCUCGUAGGUGGUUUGUCGCGUUGUUCGUGAAAACUCACAGCUCAACUGUGGGCGUGCGGGCGAUACGGCAGACUAGAGUACGUGCAGGGAGACUGGAAUUCCUGGUGAUAGCGGUGAAAUGCGCAGAUAUCAGGAGGAACACCAAUGGCGAAGGCAGCUCGCUGGGACGGUACUG
rnacentral:rRNA from 1 species